rnacentral:rRNA from 1 species
ACGGAAGGCAGCAGCUAGGAAUAUUCCGCAAUGGACGAAAGUCUGACGGAGCGACGCCGCGUGGAUGAUGACGGUCGGAAGAUUGUAAAAUCCUUUUAUAACUGAGGUAUAAGUACUUUGAGAGAAACGGUGUAUGGUGACUGCAGGUUAUGAAUAAGCAACGUCUAAUUACGUGCCAGCAGCCGCGGUAACACGUAAGUUGCGAGCGUUGUUCGGAAUUAUUGGGCGUAAAGGGCAUGUAGGCGGUUUUGCAAGCUUGGUGUGAAAUUCCGGAGCUCAACUCCGGAACUGCGUUGAGAACUGCAUAACUAGAGUCACUGAGGGGCAAUCAGAAUUCCAGGUGUAGGGGUGAAAUCUGUAGAUAUCUGGAAGAAUACCAAUGGCGAAGGCAGGUUACCAGCAGAUGAUUGACGCUGAGGUGCGAAGGUGCGGGGAGCAAACAGGAUUAGAUACCCUGGUA